UCGUGUCGUGAGAUGUUGGGUUAAGUCCCGCAACGAGCGCAACCCUCGCCUUUAGUUGCCAUCACGUCUGGGUGGGCACUCUAAAGGAACUGCCGGUGACAAGCCGGAGGAAGGUGGGGAUGACGUCAAGUCCUCAUGGCCCUUAUGUCCUGGGCUACACACGUGCUACAAUGGCGGUGACAGUGGGAAGCCAGGUGGUGACACCGAGCCGAUCUCAAAAAGCCGUCUCAGUUCGGAUUGCACUCUGCAACUCGAGUGCAUGAAGGUGGAAUCGCUAGUAAUCGCGGAUCAGCAUGCCGCGGUGAAUACGUUUCCCGGGA
rnacentral:rRNA from 1 species